rnacentral:rRNA from 1 species
GUGUCAGCAGCCGCGGUAAUACGUAGGUGGCAAGCGUUGUCCGGAUUUACUGGGCGUAAAGGAUGCGUAGGCGGAUAUUUAAGUCAGAUGUGAAAUACCCGAGCUUAACUUGGGUGCUGCAUUUGAAACUGGAUAUCUAGAGUGUGGGAGAGGAAAGUGGAAUUCCUAGUGUAGCGGUGAAAUGCGUAGAGAUUAGGAAGAACACCAGUGGCGAAGGCGACUUUCUGGACCAUAACUGACGCUGAGGCAUGAAAGCGUGGGGAGCAAACAGGAUUAGAAACCCCCGUAGUCC